rnacentral:rRNA from 1 species
UAGGGAAUCUUCCACAAUGGGCGAAAGCCUGAUGGAGCAACGCCGCGUGUGUGAUGAAGGGUUUCGGCUCGUAAAACACUGUUGUAAGAGAAGAAUGACAUUGAGAGUAACUGUUCAAUGUGUGACGGUAUCUUACCAGAAAGGAACGGCUAAAUAUGUGCAAG